GACGAACGCUGGCGGCGUGCUUAACACAUGCAAGUCGAACGGAAAGGCCCUGCUCUUGUGGGGUGCUCGAGUGGCGAACGGGUGAGUAACACGUGAGUAACCUGCCCUUGACUUUGUGAUAACUUCAGGAAACUGGGGCUAAUACCGGAUAGGAGCUCCUGCUGCACGGUGGGGGUUGGAAAGUUUCGGCGGUUGGGGAUGGACUCGCGGCUUAUCAGCUUGUUGGUGUGGUAGUGGCUUACCAAGGCUUUGACGGGUAGCCGGCCUGAGAGGGUGACCGGCCACAUUGGGACUGAGAUACGGCCCAGACUCCUACGGGAGGCAGCAGUGGGGAAUAUUGCACAAUGGGCGGAAGCCUGAUGCAGCAACGCCGCGUGCGGGAUGACGGCCUUCGGGUUGUAAACCGCUUUCGCCUGUGACGAAGCGUGAGUGACGGUAAUGGGUAAAGAAGCACCGGCUAACUACGUG
rnacentral:rRNA from 1 species